CUAUGUGAUUGAGAAUCUCUGUUUCUCUGCAGCCAUCUUUGCUUGCCAUGGCUCUCCUGUGCUUUGAGGCCCAGGAAGAACAUGACCCUGAGCACACUGACAAAAUACCAGACGCCCUGAAAAGUCUUCAGCAGCAGCUGAACAUCAGAGACGGGGACUUGGUUUGUGUGCGAGAGUUGGUUGGAAAAUGUUUGGCUGAAUAUGCUACCACCAAGUGCUCCAGGCCUAACAGCCACAGGCUUCGCUGGACUAUUUCGGGAAGAACUGCACGACAGCUGAAGCACAGCUACUACAAAAUCAGUCAUCUUCCCACCAUACCUGAGUCAGCUUAUUAAACCUGGGGGUACAAAUGGGUGACCUUACAUGCAGUGAAAAAUUACAGCUGUCCCCAAAUUAUCGUUUUUCUCUGAUUGGAUGCAACUUUAAGGUGACUUUCUUGCAGUAUGGUCUCCCCAUCGUUACAGCUUGUUAUUUUCCUUACAGAUCUUCAUCUGUGAUGGUGGAUUUCUUUAAGGAAAAGCUAAAGAUGUUACAGUUUUCCCCCAAGGUUGUUUGUUUGUCAUCCAAUGAUCAAGCGCACUGUAUUUUAUCAGCCCCAAUGACCAGGAGUAAUGCUUCAUCAGAAAGGUUCAUCCACUACCAUCCUGCUAAGUUUUACUUUCUUGGUUGAGUUGCUUGCACAAGUGUACAGUAUGUUCUUGUUUAAAUCCGUACCAAGGUGUUUGGUAUUUCCUGGAACGGGUUGCUGGUUUUAAGCUAAUAAGUAUAGAACCACCUAGGUCCUCAGUCCACCAUGUGGAAGAGGAGGGAGAAGGAUUUUGUGAACAGCAAAAAUGGAACCAAGAAAUCGGGCCCAAAAUCCUUAACUCUCACCCUAGGUUGCUAAACUGUCCUGAAUGCACACUCCUACCCAAGGUGACGAUGUUUUUUAUUUUGUUUUGAUAUGGCGAAGGAGCUCUGGUUUUCUCCAGUGAAGGCUAGUCCCGUCAUGUAUGGCUAACCAUACUAUAAGAGCUGAAAUGGUCAGCAGUUACAGAUGAGUUGUUUUCACAGAUUCUUGAUUUGUGUACACAGAGUGAAGCACCAUGUGUAUUGAUUUCAGUUAUGUCAAUUAUGCAGAGAACACAAAAAAACAUCAUUGCAGUGGAAAUGUGGAUUGAAAUGUGGAUUGCAUUUUUAUUUGCCAGGUUCCCUGUCUAGUUUAAGUUUGUUUUAGUGACUAAAAUAAAAAUGUGUUCAGAAUGGCUAAUUGAGUACACCAUCUGGUUAACCUAUGUGCUUAAACCUUUCAAUAAAACUUUAUUGAAAAGCUA